GAGCAACCUCCGGGGCUUUGUUGUGCAGCCAGCUUAAUCCCCAGGUGGGUGUGGCAGUGACAUCACAAAGGCCUGUUACAGGACUUCAGUCUAUGGGGGGACAGUGGUGGGGAGGUGCUGACCUCACAGAGACCCUGACAUCAGCUAGGCAGGACAGAGGUACAAGGCAGGGGCUUUGAAGCAACAAGUUUCCUUCUCCAGGUCUCUCCUUGGGGACGGAGAGAGAAUUAGAAUUAAAGCUCUGCACAAGGCCUUGUCUGACCUCAGGCGUGCCAUGGUUGGAAAUGUGCUGGCAGAGCCCCAGACACAGACUGGCUCCAAUACAUUUUGGAGUCCUUGGCAGCUUGCUCUAUCUUCCGUGAGAAUCUACUGAUCAGUCAGCUGUUCUGACUUCAAGUGGAGUUUUGCAUGGAGGACAUGUACGUUCAGGGACUGAUUUCAUGGCUUUAUUUUGUUUUGUUCAGGUGAAAUAAUAAGCAAAUUGAAAAAGAACAAAGUGGGUGAGUGAAAUAACGGCCUUGCUUUUCUACAGUGAUAAUACCCUGAGCUCCAGAACUAGAUGGUAUCCCAAUCCAAUAAUUAUGGGGAUGCUUCUCAUGACUAGAAUAUCAUUACAAUUCAGGGAAUAGUGUAAUUUUAA